CAUGCGUGUCUCAACUCCAUCCUUGUGUGAACCUCCUACUUCGUUCCCAAAGAGCACUUAACGACCAGGGAUGUGUUGUUUCAUCUGGGGGCUGAAAACAGCCACAUGGCCUUCCCCGUAGAUGGGCAAGGUGGGACAAAUCGCAGGAAGGACAGGAAUACCUGCCUCAUUGCUUUGUUGAUCGUUUUGUGCAAGACCAGUUCAUAAAGCUGGCGUCACCUGUCGUGUAAGUCCUCAAGGAAUGACAGCUUCUGUGUCUUUGGACAAUCUUGAAGGAGUCCUGGAGGUGUCAAAAUGUGAGCUCUAUGAGCAAAGGAGCCUUAUCUCUCCAGUAAAAACGAAGUCCAGCACAUGGCACAUAUUGCAUAUGUAAUAGAGAAUGAAUG
rnacentral:lncRNA from 1 species